GAGGUGUGCCAUCCAUGCAUUGUGACCCUCGACCUCACAAAGGGCGUGACCCUUCCCCACAGCCCCAGCAUCAAAGGAGGGGCAGCUCAGUCCUAUGCUUCUCCUGCCUGAAAUGGUUCCAGAUGUGGGGACUGCAGGGGCCUGUGGAAGAUGCAGGGUGAUGUUCGGCACAUGGCUGGGUUUCUUCCUGGAGGCUGCCCUGAGGGAGGGCCAUCUACCUCCCUUUCCUGGCACCUGAGUAUGACCAUGGGGAACUCCGGAAGAGGCAAUAAUGAAUGUGGCCUCUGGAUAGAGAAGGUACCAGCCAGCAAGGUUCUCCCCUCUGCUCUCCACUCCUCAACCCUCAGAUCUGGGGUCCGGUUGUGGGAACAACAGCUUGAAUUACGGAAAGAAGUUUCCCCACUGAGUUAAUCUGCAGUGGCUGGAGGUGACCUUCUGGAGACGGCGAUUAAUCACGGGCCGUGGCGGGCGCCGCGCCACGCCGGGCCCUUUGGGGGAAUACUAAUUCCACUACAAGAUAAAUCAUAAUUUGACAAUAAUCAUCUGCCCUAAUCACUCCAAUUCUUCUGUUUAAUUAUUUGUAUACACCGUGUUUCUUCAGCGAGGACCCCUUGUGCCUGUGGGUAGGGAGAGGACAGCCGCCUGGGCGCAGACCCCACUUUGGCCCCUUGGCCUCUUGGCCCUGCUGGUAUGCCUGGGGAGGCCUGACUCCCAGCUGCUCGGGAGAACAUGGGAGCUUGGCGUUAUGGCAGCACCACCAGGGAAACUGAGACUCAGAGAGAGGCCGGGCCUCGUCUGAGGUCCCAUGGCAAGCUUCGUGGGAGCCAGGCUGAAGACUAAGGCUUCAACGUUUAGUCCUAGGCUGUACCCCAUGCUCCCCCUUGCUGAAGAAUGGUUCGGAGCGCCUCCCUUUCACUGCCCUACUCGCUGACCUCUGUGCCCAGUCUCCUGUGAAAGCUGGUCCCACCCUCCAUCUGCCAGCACCGACAGGAUUGCUGCCUGCUUCCAUUCCCCUUCCCCCGCCCUGGGCCCGCCUGUCCACUCAGGACACGAUCAUGAAGGGUUGUGGGCAUCUGAGCAGGCCCCCAUCUUCCAGGGGUGACCACUGGCAGUUGAUGGGACCUCUCUGUAGCCUUUAUCUGUGAGUUGGGUGGGGCCCUCUCUCUCCCAGGAUCACAGAGACCUGGCCUUAUGCCAGAUCCAUAGGGGUUCUCACAGAGGCUUACUGCUGCCCCUUCCUAUUCUGCUAGGGCCCAGCCACUAGGGUCCUAUAUGUUCUAUCCCCGCCCAGCCUCCCAAAUCUGGCUCCCAGUGCCACCAUGUUUACCCCUUGGGUUGGGCUGCCAGGAGAGUUCCAGGGGCCUGACUCUGCCCCUGAUGGUCCCCCUUGGAGGGGCUGGCUGGGCUGCU